GUAGUCUGCCAUACGCAGGAAGACCCGCUGAACUGAAGCAUCUCAUUAAGCGGAGGAAAAGAAACUAACUAGGAUUCCCUUAGUAAAGGCGAUCGAAAAGGGAACAGCCCAACGUCUUAAUCCCGCAAGGGAAAUGUAGUCGGUUCACCUAUUGCACUGGUCUAAGUCAGAUGGAAUGCUGCGCGAUUCAGAGUAAAAGCCUCGUAUGACCAACCGCAAGCUUACGAUGGACCGGGGAGAGUCGGAUACUUUGAGAGUAGUGUCUUAAGGGGGUGGUAUGUCCCAUCCAAGGCUAAAUAACGUGAGGAGACCGAUAGAUUACAAGUAGUGUGAACGAAAGAUGAAAAGAACUCUAAAACAGAGGGUGAAAAGUUCCUGAACUUGCUUAGGGUUAAGGCUAUUUAUAGUACCCGUCUUGAAACACGGAUUAGGGAGUUUAUCUGUAGUGCGAGUCUUUGCACGUUAACUGUAAAGGCGUAGAGAAAGCAACUGGCGUUUGCAUGGCUACUGAGCAUUACUGAUAGGACCCGAAAGGUGGUGAACUUUGCCUGCACAGGUUGAAGUCAGGGGAAACUCUGAUGGAGGACCGUACGGGUUAUUGAUGUGCAAAUCAUUUUUCUGAUGUAGGUAAAGGUGCGAAAGA
rnacentral:ncRNA from 1 species